rnacentral:rRNA from 1 species
GACGAACGCUGGCGGCGUGCUUAACACAUGCAAGUCGAACGGAAAGGCCCUGCUUUUGUGGGGUGCUCGAGUGGCGAACGGGUGAGUAACACGUGAGUAACCUGCCCUUGACUUUGGGAUAACUUCAGGAAACUGGGGCUAAUACCGGAUAGGAGCUCCUGCUGCAUGGUGGGGGUUGGAAAGUUUCGGCGGUUGGGGAUCGACUCGCGGCUUAUCAGCUUGUUGGUGGGGUAGUGGCUUACCAAGGCUUUGACGGGUAGCCGGCCUGAGAGGGUGACCGGCCACAUUGGGACUGAGAUACGGCCCAGACUCCUACGGGAGGCAGCGGUGGGGAAUAUUGCACAAUAGGCGGAAGCCUGAUGCAGCGACGCCGCGUGCGGGAUGACGGCCUUCGGGGUGUAAACCGCUUUCGCCUGUGACGAAGCGUGAGUGACGGUAAUGGGUAAAGAAGCACCGGCUAACUACGUG